rnacentral:rRNA from 1 species
GUCAUAUGCUUGUCUCAAAGAUUAAGCCAUGCAUGUCUCAGUACAAGCCAAAUUAAGGUGAAACCGCGAAAGGCUCAUUAAAUCAGUUAUGGUUCCUUAGAUCGUACUCACAAUUACUCGGAUAACUGUGGUAAUUCUAGAGCUAAUACAUGCAAACAGAGCUCCGACCGGAGACGGAAGGAGUGCUUUUAUUAGAUCAAAACCGAUCGGUGGCGGGUUCGCUCGUCAUCGUACAACUUGGUGACUCUGAAUAACUUUACGCUGAUCGCACGGUCAUCGCACCGGCGACGCAUCUUUCAAAUGUCUGCCUUAUCAACUGUCGAUGGUAGGUUCUGCGCCUACCAUGGUUGUAACGGGUAACGGGGAAUCAGGGUUCGAUUCCGGAGAGGGAGCCUGAGAAACGGCUACCACAUCCAAGGAAGGCAGCAGGCGCGCAAAUUACCCACUCCCGGCACGGGGAGGUAGUGACGAAAAAUAACGAUACGGGACUCAUCCGAGGCCCCGUAAUCGGAAUGAGUACACUCUAAACCCUUUAACGAGGAUCAAUUGGAGGGCAAGUCUGGUGCCAGCAGCCGCGG